rnacentral:rRNA from 1 species
GACAGAGGAUGCAAGCGUUAUCCGGAAUGAUUGGGCGUAAAGCGUCUGUAGGUGGCUUUUCAAGUCCGCCGUCAAAUCCCAGGGCUCAACCCUGGACAGGCGGUGGAAACUACCAAGCUGGAGUACGGUAGGGGCAGAGGGAAUUUCCGAUGGAGCGGUGAAAUGCGUUGAUAUCGUUAGGAACUCCGGUGGCGAAGGCGGCAUGCUGGACCUUUUCUGACGCUGAGGCGCGAAAGCCAGGGGAGCAAACGGG